rnacentral:lncRNA from 1 species
UUUUAAUUCUCAGAUAAGAACUGAUGGAAGUACAUAGUCCCAGCAGCAGAGGUUAUCUAUGAUAAAAAUUUUGUUUUGUCACGAAGCUUGAUCUCAAUUUUGCUCAAAACCAUAGACUCCUGGAACAUUAAUUUCAGAAUAGAAAAGAGAAGUGUAAAAGUAGAGGACAGCACUGUUUCCUUUUAAUGUAAUAACAAAGGAGGACAAUCAAACAGAAAAAAACAUGUUAGGAAAAGUAAAAGUUAGGCAGUCCUUGAAAAUUUGUCACAGAGAAGCUAAAUUGGCAGUUUUAUCUCCAGAUAAGAGACAGUAGCAUAUGCCUAUGCAUGAGAAUCUUUAUUGUAUUUCUUCCAAGAACAGAAUAGAAAUAAAUGAUUACUUGUCUCAUAAUUAAAAAAGGUACAUUAUUCCAGAAUGAACACAGUGCUUUAUUAGAUCCAUAGAUUUCGCAAUUUAUGUUUCUCUGGCAUAUAUACAUCUGUGCACUGUUUUUCCAUAAAAGGUAGCAGUAGCCAGAAUAGCACAGUCCAUUCCUGUGGAAGUGCAUACAAUCUUAUCCUGAAAAUUUCUUUUCUAUUCAGUCCUUGUUAAUAAGCUUGUGGAGUAUUUUCUUUUUUUUGUUGUUGUUAUAAACAGGAAAAUGUUGGCUAAAUGCUUGGUAACAUGUUGUCUGCUUUAAAUUAACAAAUAAAAUUUGCAUGUAGAUCAUGGAUUAUGCAUCACUGCCACAUUUCUGUAGAAGAGAAGGCUCUGGAUCAUCCAGGCAUUCAGAGAAUGGAAAUGGAAAUGGAAAUGAAAAUUGCUAUUCCUUGGAUCAUCCUUUCCAUCAGAAGCUCUACAAUCACAUAAAGGAGGAAUCCAGAAUCCAAGAACCUGUUGAACCAAUCAAGCAGGGAUCAUUCCAUGUAGAUUUUCCAGAACCCCCUGCUGAGAAAGCUGAGAUUGUCAAGACUUUAGAGUCUGAGCUACACAAGUUUAAGAUCAGCAAUGGAACUUGUGAUUGAAGAUUGUUUGAUACUGUUGCCAAUGUUGGCGAUGUUUUCUUAUGUAGUACAAGGGUUCUUCCUCUUCACUACCAUCAGGAUUCCGCAGUACUAGUUAGCCUUGUUUAUGUUAGCUUCAGAAAUUUAGGGAGUAGUAAGAAUAAAGCGGAUACUAGAUUUGCAUUAUGCCUUAAUAGCAAGUACGAAAUGUUAUUAAAUCUGAUCAUUCCCAUCAUGUUUCUUCUAAAUCUAGAUAUUUGCAUAUUUAAUCUUCAAAUUCCCUUCUCAAUUUAAAUAGAAAACAGUUUGUGUUCCAAGUACUGAACUUGGAAAUAAAGAGUGUAUACAUGUGGAAAGAAAACCUUAUUCAUUUCCAUUUUUUUUUUACAUAAAAUAGUAGAAUGGAAAGACAUUCAUUGAUAAAAUUCUACCGACAACAUAUAAUGUACUUAAAAUUUUCAAACUAAUGAGUUAGUGGUUACAUUCUCAAUAUCAUAUAUUAAUUAUUCAAGUAGUAUCUAUUUUAAACCAUCUAAUAUUUUAUAAUUAACAUAAGUGGUCAGACACUAUAAUUGGUAAAAUAUGUAAUAACCAUGUUCUCAAUUCUUAUAUUAUUUCUGGUUCAAACCUAUUAAUGUUUAUUUAUUUUUAUUUGAAGACUAUUAAUGGUAUACAAAUUUGAAGUUUCAUUAAUUAUUUUUUCAACCUUUUAUGGAGUUAAGAGUUUAAAUUAGCCAUACAUUAUGUCGGUUUAUAUGUAGUUGCUAUAUUGUUAUGACACAAGCAAAAUUUCCACGUUCCUAUUCUGCUACGCGGUUCUAGCUGGGCCCUCUUGGCAUUAAACACAUUUUAAUGUCCGUUAAAUUUCACUAUACUAUUUGGUCCAUCGUUGAACAGUAAAAAGUACUCAACUUUUUCUUCUUUUGGUACUUACUUUUUUCUUCUGUCAUCAUUUAAUUUCUUUUACCUAGAAAAAAAGGCCACUUGCAAAUGUCACUUGGCUUAGGAGGAAAAUAAAAAAGGAACAGGAAGAAAAAAAAUCGUCAUAUGAGAGUGAUAUAAAGAGAAAGUAAUGAAUAGAUAAAAUAUUGGUGCAAUUGGGGUAAGAUUUAAAAAGACAGGGAUUUUCCCUGAAAAUAUUCGUAAAUAACGUCUCGGUAUGAGAUAUAAGACAUGUUUUCGUGAAGUGUUCAAUAAAAAAAAAGUAUUUGUUAAAUAUCUGACAAUUUUAGUAUAGUUCUAACAUAAUUUUUUUAAAAAAUUAUAUUAAUUUUUUAAAAAUUCAAAUUUUAUUCUAUAAAUUGUUAUUAUAAUUAUAAAAUAAUAAAAAAAUAUUUGUGAAACAUGAAAAAUAUUUUUCUACUCCAAAAAUAAUCUGGAGCAUACUUGUGUGCAUAAAUAUUUAUUGUCAAUUUACAUAAUUCAUAAUUAUAUAAUAUAUAUAGAUCUGUGUCUCUGUGUCUUACAUUCUAGAGAUUUUACGUAUGUUUGUGCCGUAGUGUCGUGUUUGUGUUACAUAAAUGGUUAGACGGAAAGAAAAUAGAGGAUUAAAAAAAAAGAAAAAAAAAGAAAUAUGUAAUAAAUAUUAAGGUUUUUUUUUCAUUUGAUUUAUUAUCAUAGUCACAUACUAUUCCUAUAUCUUAAUUUUCUGUAAACAUGUUUGGAGAAACUGAAAAAUAAAGACUUCUUUAAAAAAAUAAUGAAGAAAAAAAGGAAAUCAACUUCUUCCUUCCUAAGUUGGAUUAACUUAUAAAUAAAUUGAAAUCAAAUUUUAUAAAACAACUAAUAUAAAAUAACUUUUAUAAAUUAAUUUAGAGAAUCGUUUUUUUUACCUUAUAAAAGGGUUUAUGAUUUUUUUUUCCUAACAAAUCUCUUUAUAUUUUACCAUUUUUGAGAGAAUUCUCCUAACAAGAUGCAGAAGCUAGCCUCAGCCACUUUGAAUGGUUUUUUGGGAAACAGAUACACUUGUUAUGCCGACAAAUUGCUUUAUAGUCACAUUUGGGUUACAGAAAUAGAAAUAAAAUAUGAAGUUCAUGUCGUAAAUUAGAAUUGUGCAUACUUUUUUUAAAUUCUUGUUUUUAAUCUGUAUAUUAGUUAUAUCAGACAGAAGAGCAUUUUAUUUUACUUUUUUGAAUUUGUUCUCUCUUAAAUUUCCAGCUUCUUCACUUCAAUUACCACGUUUGUGAAUGAUGAACAUCAAAGAACAGUUAGAUCUGAACAUUUUGUCUAAAAAUGCAGAACAUGAAAUUUUUGCGUUCCCUAAGAACUGAAGAAACUGGGACUUUGACAAUAAGCAUUCACAUUUGCAUGGAAGUUGGAAACAAUGAUAUGGCUUUGAAAGCUAAAUGGGAGAGAUGAUUGAUGAUAUGGUGCAAGGAGGCUUUGAACUCCCAAGAGAAAUUAAGCCACAAAUCCAAUGAAUGCUAUUGAAUAUUGAUUAGUGACAGAUCCUUUUUGCUGUAUAACCGAGACUGAGUUUUUCACUUUUAAAUACGCAGAGGGAUUGGUCUUGGAGAAUUGUCUGAGCAUUCCGAGUUUUGUUCUUCUUGACGCCUCUUCUUUAGUUCGCACUCAACUGCAACCUUUGCAGAAUCUGCCAUCUCUGCAUUCCUCAGAGCCAUGUCUGUUGCAGCCUUUAUUUCCUCAAUUGCUUUCAGGUUUGCCUCCACCUUUUUGUUCACUUCAUUCUUUCUUGAGUUGAUUGCUUCCACCUGAACCAAUGAUGCUGUUUCUGUUCUGUCAAUCAAAUCUUCAGAUUCCUUUAUUUUCCCACUCAAUGCUGCAAACUCAUCAACUGUCAACACAAUCUUCCCAUUUGAAUCUAAAACUGAGACUGUGUCUUGUGUGUUGUCACUGUCAGACAUCAUCUUCAUCUCCUCAAUGGCCUUUUGUUCUGCUGCUUUUGCUUCCUCAGCCUGUUUCAGAAAAAGCUCUAGUUUCUUCUGCAAUUCUUCUGCCACGGCUUUGGAUUUUUCAGCCUCGUGCUUCAGCUCUUGAGUUUUGCUUCUCAUUUCUUCUUCUUCCCUUCUUGCAGCUUCUGUCUCAAAUGAAAGCUGUUUGAUCUUCAAUUCUACUGCAGCACUGUCUUCAGAUUCUUUUUCCACCGCAGAACUUGUCUCUUCUGAUCCAUUCUGUAGUUUAUCAGUUAGGGUAGCAGCAAGGGCUUCUGCUGCCUGUUCCUUCUCCUUGAGUUCCUCUUGCUCUUUCUUGACUUGUUCUAACUCUGUCCUGAGGGAAUCCACUAGGUUUCUCAGGGAGGUUUCCUCUUCAGCAACUUCCUGAAGUGUUUUCGUGGCUUCUUUGAUCUCCAAAGUUAUUAGUCUCACAGAAUCCAUCUCUGAAGCAUGGGCCUGUUUCAUCUGCUCUUGGAGAACCUGAAUCUCUUCACUUGUUUCAUGAAGUUUGUCCUCUAGACUUUGUGUUAGUUCAUGGUCAUACUCAUUCUUCAAAUUCGUCAAUUUAUUCUGUGCUUCUUCCUUGGCAUUUUCGUAGAAACUUAGUCGUGCUUCUCUUUCUUCCAUGACCUUUGCCUGACUAUCUUGGGCUUGUGAUGAGGCAGCCUUCAAAUGUUGAAUUUGUUCUUUCAUGGUUGCAAUUUGCUUUGAGAGUUCCUGGAGCUUUUCUGAGUUCAAUUUUGCAGAACGCUGAGCCUCUCCUGCUGUCUGGAAUGCAGCCAGUUUUGCCUCCAAAGCUGUGUCAAAAUCCUGCCUGAUUUUAUUGAGUUCUUGUUUGGUAGCAUCUAGUUCCUUUACUGUUGUUGUGUACUCCUUUCUUGCAUGCUCUAGUUCUUGUUUCCAAGCUUCAUAUCCUAUAGCUUUUUGGGAUAAUGCCUGUUCAAGUUCUUUGGCCUGAUUCUUCACAGCUUCAGCAGCUUCUAUUGCUGAUUGCUUUGAUUCUCUCACACUGACGAGCUUCUUUUGCAAUUCCUGAAGUGUCACAUUGGCCUUAUCAAGCUCGGAAAGUGCUUUUCCUUUUGUGCUCUCAGAACUAUCCAGCUUUUUCUUUAUCAUCUGUAAUUCUCUUUGGGCCAAGAGAAGCUGAGUCUCCUUUUCCAGAACAUUCUGCAAGUCACACAAUUUACUAAUUGUGUAUCAUGUAUAACUUCUCAAAGAAUGACACUACUAAUAAUGAAAACUGUCACAGUUGUUAGACACCCAAAAUCAUGCAAAUGAAGCACUUAUGCAAACUUGGAAAUCUCCUCAAACCGUGUAUGCCUUGCAAAGACAAAGAGAAUUUGUUGGGUUUCUUAAGAAAAACGUAUUUAAGAAAAAGAAGACGAAAUAUAUUAUGAAAGGAGCUUACUAAACUUUUAUCUCUAGUUUUAUAUAUAGAGCUAAAAAUGAAAGAAUAUUAACGACAUCUUAAUCUUAAAAUCAACUGGUAACAUCCUUAAUCUUGAGUUAAAUGAUAAGAAUGAUAUUUUUUUCUAUCUGAGUUAAACCUUGAAGCCUAACAAGUUUCUUAAAAAAUAAAUUAUUCAUUUUCAAAUUGCAGAUAUGCAUAUUUUCAGAAGGGUAAACGUUUCUAUAAUUAACUAGUAUAUAAGGCCAUCUCUAUAAUUCUGCUAUUCUGGGUUUUGAAUCCUUGCCUGAAAUUGUUUUUGAGGAAAAUUUAUGUUUGAUGUUUACCUCUGAUGAUCUUCUCUUGAUAGAAGAAGAACGCCUUUCCCUUGAGACGGCUACUUCACCAAAUAAACUAACAGCUGCUUUAACAGAUUGAAAUGGAGCCCUUGUGUCAAUCUCUCCAACUUCUCUUGGAGAAUCAGAUUCCUUUUCUUGAUCUCUAAUUCUGAAACUCAUUAUAUGCUGGCAAAAGGUAUCUGCAUGCAUGCAGCAGAUGAUACAUAGCAAUGCACCACAUUUAAAAUAUGACAUUUAUAAGAUAUAACCCAAAAGGACUAAAGUUAUGUAAAGCUUACCUUAAUGCUUAAUGUUACAACAAAGGAUAUAAUGAAACAAAAUAUGGAGGCAAAGAGUCCUCCUUGCACUUGAUCAGGUAGGGCCCAGAUAAUGAAUUUGAAAAGUGGAGGUGUUGGAAUUCAAAAGAACCCAGAUGAAAACGUUGGUUCCUUUUAAGUCCAACUUUUAUUUACCUUCCCGAUGAGAAUAUUCAAAAGAAAAACACUCUAAAAUAUGGCUGGUUAAAUUUGUUUGGAUAGAAUUGAUUAUAUAGAUAACUUAUAUUUGGUUAAGAGGGAUUUGUGGUGGUGUUGACAUAAAAAGAAAAUGGCGGGUUGUCAAAUACAAAAAUGACCCUUUUCCAUUCUGUAGAUGGGAAAGCUUUGGAGUACAUGCGGAAAAUGGGGAAGAUUCCAACAAGCCAUGAUGGAUAUAACAUUUUACAGUAAAUAUGAGUUGGAAAAUUUAUCAAAACCAUUUUAGCAGAAGGUCAAUCUGGUUCAACUCAGUCCAUGGUGUUUAGAGGUUGGCAAUUCCUUAUAUGGAAAGGUGGCUACUCCUCCUUUUUUUAGGGUUCUAAAGGUAAGAUAUGUUACAAAUUUCAGUAAACCUUGCUGAUCUGGAUCCAUGAUACAAUUAUAGUAACUUUAUCUGAAUCCGUUUAUUGCUACAUGCUUGUAACCAACAAAGAGGUUGAGUCUUGAUUAAAGAAAUAAAAUAGAAAAAAAUGAGUGAAGUUAGAUGAUAACAAAUGUCUAUAUAACAUAUAUAAUAUAAUAUAACAAUUUUUUCAAAAAUAAAACAUAAACAAGAAUAUUUUGAUUUUGAUUUCCGUUCAAAAUGAAAGAAAUUAUAGAACAUUAAUCAGACAGACCAUAUUCUUUUGCUGUCUGCUGCAUCUUUAUUUAAUAAAGGUUGGAAUAUUUUUAUCAUUAAUUUUCCAAAUUUCUCUCUUCCCUCUGCUUUAAACUUCAUCAACAUGAUCGCUCUCAUACUUCUCCCAACUUAUAGGAAAAGUUUAUAAACAAUACUAUUAACAUUCUAAAAAAAAAAGAACAUAAAUAAUAAAUAAUAAAUAUUAUUAAGUUAUUAUUAUAUACUAAAUAUCACUCUUAAAUAUACCAGUUGACAACUCCAAAUUAAUAUACGAGUUGAUCACUCCAAAUUAAAGGAGGACAAUCAAAUAGUAAAUUAAAGGAAGAUAAUAGAAAAAUAGUGUUAAUAAAAGUAAAAGUUAAAAGAAUAAUUCAGUGACAUCCGUUUCAUCUUAAUUUACAACAAAAUAUUAAUAUUUAUAAUAAUAAUUUUUUUUAAUGAAAAUAUAAAUAAAAUAUAAAAUAUUAAAAUAAUUUUUAAAAUUAAAAAAUUAUAAAUAUUUAAAUAUUAAUAUUUACAAAAUUAAAAAAUUAUAAAUAUUUAAAUAUUAAUAUUUAUAGAAGUGUUGGAUGAAACAUUGGGAAAAAAAAACAUUUUUCUUUUCUAUUUUAUACCCCAGAUAAGAGACAGUAGCAUGUGCCUAUGAAAGAGAAUCUUGAUUGCAUUUCUUCCAAGAACAGCACAAAAAUAAAUGAUUACUUGUCUCGUAAUUAAAAAAGGUACAUUAUUCCAGAAUGAACACAGUGCUUUACUAGAUCCAUAGAUUUCGUAAUUUAUGUUUCUCUGGCAUAUAUACAUCUGUGCACUGUUUUUCCAUAAAAGGUAGCAGUAGCAAGAAGAGCACACAAUUCAUUCCUGUGGAAGUGCAUACAAUCUUAUCCUGAAAUUUCUUUACUUUUCUAUUCAGUCCUUGUUAAUAAGCUUGUGGAGUAUUUUUUUUUGUUAUAAACAGGAAAAUGUUGGCUAAAUGCUUGGUAACAUGUUGUCUGCUUUAAAUUAACAAAUAAAAUUUGCAUGUAGAUCAUGGAUUAUGCAUCACUGCCACAUUUCUGUAGAAGAGAAGGCUCUGGAUCAUCCAGGCAUUCAGAGAAUGGAAAUGGAAAUGAAAAUUGCUAUUCCUGGGAUCAUCCUUUCCAUCAGAAGCUCUACAAUCACAUAAAGGAGGAAUCCGGAAUCCAGAAUCCAAGAACCUGUUGAACCAAUCAAGCAGGGAUCAUUCCAUGUAGAUUUUCCUGAACCUCCUGCUGAGAAAACUGAGAUUGUCAAUGUUCCUACAAAGUUAGAACCUUGCAAAACACUUUUUCUUGUUGCAGUCUUUUCGUCUUUUCGGUCUCUCGGUUGAGCUCUAAAUCCAAAUACGAUGGGGAGUGUGUCAGGAAAGACACUUCAAUGAUCAAGUCAGUUAGAUAGUUAAGUAUUAGAGAAGUAGGGAGUGAAUAGUUACCUUGAGUGUUGUGCCUCUCCUUCUAUUUAUACUGCUAUGGAUGAGCUCUGACUGUUAUGAACCUUCUUUUGAGUCCAGUUGAAGGCCCAAUUGCACCUUAACCACACUUUGCGCUUAAUCUGGUUUAUCCUCGUCUAAUUACCUAUUUGACUGUUAUCCUUAUUAAGAAAGAGUGAACUUUAAGUCCAACUCAACCCCAUAAAACCGGCUC